GGGCCCGGCAGAGACUAACAAAACCAGGCAAGGCUGCACCCAGGGGCCCGGGGCUCUGGAAAACAAAUCUGGAAACAUGAUCCCACACGUUCUGCCCUGAAGACAUUAAGCCCAGAGACCCAGAGGGACCCACUGCGGAGCGGAGGCCUGAGCAGGACUCGCAGAGGCUCUGCCGUUCCGGUGAAAUCAAAACAGCUUGAGCCAAAAUAGCUCGUGAAGAGAUAAGGGAUUAAACCGGGCUCGGAACCACAUCAGGAUGAGGGCCUAACACUCCUGAGGUCCCCACGGAGGAAGGGUUUUUCAGCUUAGGAAUGAGCUGUGAAAAGCUGAAUUCCACUCUGGGGGCGGGGGGCUGUCUCUGUCAAAGCCUAAAAAAAUUCUCCCACAGGCCAUUUGGGGAAAAGGUAUGUGAUCUGGUUUCUUCUCCUUCAGGGCUGGCAACACGAAGCGGAACCCACACACCCCCUCGUUCAUGAGCGCACCCCCAAAAUGCCAGGGAGUUGUCAGGUCAGGGGAGGUCUGAAUUCGCUGAUAUGGUGAGUGCUUCCUGGAAUUCAGAAAGUAAACAUGAACCAGGGGUAUUUUUGUGGUGUUUUUCCAUCUAGUGGUAAAGUUUUUUUCAUCUUGAAUUGGAUUCCAAUUGCUCCCUGGGCAGUUUUGAAAAAAAAAAAAAUUAAAAAUGAAGCAGGGGAGGUUUCAGGCAGCUCUAAGUAAUAGAGGUGAAGAUACCAUCAGGAAGGAAGCUGUGUGUGUUGGGGGGGCAGGUCCCUGGGUGCCCAGAGGAUGCACGGGUCACGAAUCAGGGCAGGGGCACUGGCGUUUUAUGCUGAACAUUCAAAAAGUUGCUUCCUGGAGCACCAUGGGCUCUCACCAAGAUUCCCCAUCCAGGCGGUCAGAGAAACAAUCGGAGCCCCCAGCUGAAUUUCUCCAAUUUUUCCAAAUGUCUUUCAGGUGAGGAAGCAAAUUUUAAUCCUACGCAGAGGGCAAGGCCUUUGGGGGUUGGUCAGAAUCCAGAAAUGGCGAGAGAGAUCCUCUGAGGCUCAGCCUCCAUCCCUAUAACAUGGACUCAUGUUCAUAUUUAAACCUGAGCCGGGUCCUCUGGCUUUUGCGUUCCCCAGCAUCAGGAAUGGUGCUACAGGACACUGCAUUAUUAUUUGGGAGGACUUGGUGGCCUCUGGCUUUUUAAAACCAGGGAGGUAAGCCCUUGAAAAAAAAAAAAAAAAGAAGAAGGAAAUGAGUACUAGACUUGGAUCCCUGAGCCCUGGGAAAUGGGCUGAACACUGGGGAGGCAGAUGCUGCUCUCAGCCUCUCAUCUUCUUAGGGUUUCCACCAAAGCACAUGGGAGCCAAAACUCUGUCUGCUCCCCCUAAACCGAAAUGAGGCAAGGACAUCAAAGAUCCAUUCCUAAAAGUUUGCCUGUGAUGGUGUCAGCUUCCACACACGAGGCUGCCUCCGGAACCCACCUUGGAGAGCCACACUCCCAGCUGUGCUGGUUUCCUCCUAUGGGGCAUGGCGGUUUCUUCUGUCUCUGUCCUAGGUGAGUGUUGUCCUUGUCACCGAGGGGUUGACACAGAGGACUAAGACAUGCGACUUCCUACCCUUCCUUCAUCCUCUGUCUAAACAUCACCCAGGAGAUUUGGACUUUGUAAGUACCGUCCUUCUGAUAAUGCGCAGGGCUCCUCUGUUGGUGUGUGGAUAAUCGAACAGCAAUCCAAAUGACCAGUUAGUGUGACUCAGUUGGGAAGACAGAGGAGUAGAAAAUCUAGGACAGACUAGAAAAAUUGCAUGAGAGGGUUGGUAGCCACACCAGAUGAAAUUAAAUAAAAGAUAAACUCUUACAGUUUAACGUCUUUGCACAGCAGAAGUUCGUUGCCAUCUCCUGGGCAGUUUGAGGCAGGUAUUUGAGUGACGUCACGGUGUGGCAGUCUGGACACUUGGCUCCUCCCAUCUUGUGGUCCAGCUGUCCCAGGGCCUUGGGCAAAGAGGGGGUGUGCACAGGCCUUCCAUAGUUCCCUCGGAUUGGAAGCGACACACAUCUUUUCCACUCGCAUUCCUGUUCAGGUCUUCAGUGAUGCAUAGCACAUCGCUCCAAACUUAGCGGCUUACGGCAAUGACAACAUUCGCUUUGCCCCUGAACUUGCAGUUUGGACAGGGCUUAGUGGGGACAGCUUGUUUCUAAUCCAUUUGAUGUCUCCUGGGAUGGCCUGAAGGCUGAUAGCUGGAGCUGUUAGCCAACUUGCCCCCUCCAUGGAAGGCUGGCGUCUGCCGGUGCAUCAGCUGUGGCCGUAGCCAGAACUUCCACUCUUGGACUUCCCAGGGGGCUGCCUGGGUUCCAGAGUGAGUGUCCCAGGAAGACUGGGCAGAAGCUGUGUUGCCAUUUAUGACGUGGCUUGAUAAACCUCGCAGGUCCAGUCAGGUGAAAGGGAGCAGCGCAGACCCCACUGCUUGAAGCAGGACGGGAGCAUAACGUAAGAUGUGUGACCUGGGCUCUCUUGGUGUGGCUGUCUUUAGACAAUUCCAGCGGUGAAAGCCAGUCUCAUGGGGCCAUCGAGAUGCCAGACGAGCUUGGGAAAUAUAGUCAUAGCUGUGCAGCUGCUUCAAAGUGGCAGUGACAGCAGGAAAGGCCGUUCGGGUUGUAGCGAGCAAGCUUGGCCACAGACAAUAGGGAGAUUUUUCAUGUCACGAAUGGGUCCACGGUCAUGCCCACGGGUCAGGUCGAAUGGGGACGUGUGCAGAGACACUUUUUGGGGCAUUGGCAGAAAAAGUCUUGCUGUGAGCAUCUGAGGUUCUGCUUUGAGGGUAAGUGUGACCAUGAGGUGCCCUGACACCCUCCACCUCCAGUGGGACCAGACAGGCCAGGCAGACCCUGGCUCAGCAGAGCAGCUGCAGAAGUCCGGCAAGUGGACACUUGGUCACAGGCUCUGCCCCUGCCUGCGGACACAUCCUCUGGCCCUUUAUUCAUAGAGCUUCUCUGAUUUCCAGUAGAAGUAAAGCAUCGAAGUGAUGAAAGGAAGGCUCUAGAACAUUCAUUCAUCCAUAUAGUUAACACUUUUAAUGAGCUCCUACUAUGUGCCAGGCUCUGUGCUAAGCCCAGGAGAAAGUGUGAACUAGACCCACAGGCGGCAGGGGGGACCCCAGGGCGGGAUUUGUGCCCGGUUUCAGCUGGCGUCUGGCGUGAUUGUGCAGUGCUCAGAAAGACAGGUGGGCGGGUCACAGCGGGUCUGGUGACUUCUGGAGCAGGCUGGUAGCGGGUCAAUUAACGUAAUUUAACUGCCUAGCCCGUAAACGACAUGGUCCCCGCGUCAGACAUGUAAAUCAGCACUGACAGAUGACACGAUAGGGAUAGCCUUGCCGUGCACGUAUCUGGGGGCAAUUAAUUGUAACGGUCUGGAAGGGCAUUUCUGCCUUGAAAUCAGGAGGCAGCUGAAGACAUUCUGUGUGUACUGCUGCCACUAAUCUGCAUUUAAUUGUCAUCGGCAUUCAUUUAGGGUCCUGGCAGCAGAGCUGCCCUGCGUGUCAGCCAGAGUCCUCAGCAGAUCAUGAAGUUACCCUCAGGAGCAUCUCAGGGAUGCCGGCGGCGUCUGUAACAAGUGGCGUUUGGCAUCCACGAAGCGUCCCGACUCAGAAACGACACAAACCAUGAAAGAACUGUCAAAAUUGGGAAUGAAGAAAAUCGCCAGGCGCCUCUGGAUAAGGCUUCUCCCCCACUCGCUCUUGCAAAAGAAAUCGCAGCUCCUUUUUUAUCCUCCCUUUCAGCUGGAGCGGUCGCGCUAAAGUAUGUUUGCUAAAUUGGCAGGGAAUGAGUGGUAUUUAACAAAGAACACAUCAAAUGUGGGACAACUUCAUAGGAAGGGCUUAGCAGGAAAAAUAAAGACGACAAGAGCCCAGGCCCUGGCUGGUUUUGAUGCCUGUCAGGGGACAAGGCUUCAGUGGCCAUUGAGGGAGAUGAAUUGUUUUUUCUUUUUUUUUUUUUCAGGAAGCUGAAGCCACAGUGCAGGACGUGCCUCAUUUGACUAUAUAAGAAGUGGCCAUAAAAUCCAAAACUUAAGCAAUCAUCAAAAGCAGGGCGUCUGCAUUUCAAUAGCGUGCUGUCCCUUUAUCAGUAUUUACUGUGGGUGGCUCCAGACUUAAAUGGACUGUCGUUACUCAAAGUAUUCUGGAAUUCCUCUUCAGAGACUGAAGCACAUUCUCCUUGAGAAUUUUAGCUCUAAAAUCAUUUAGAGACAAAUCUAGGGAGUAAGAUAGAUUUGCAUGCUGAGUCUGAUAUAGAUGUGUGUGUGUGUGUGUGUGUGUGUGUGUGUGUGGGCAUGAAAGAGGUGUGCCAUAAAGCAGUGAGAAUGGUUUUCUUAUGUGGAAUUUAAGCCAGCUCUGAGGACCUUUCUUGAGGAGUGCUGCUCCCCUUGUUUGAAAGACGCUGGCAUUGCUCACACACGUCUGUGGCCUACUGUCUCCCAUGCUUGUUUGGCUGUGGGAUCCUUUCUUUAUAGGUCUUUGUUAGCAGCCCAUGUAACCACUGGUCCUCAAAAUGUCCUUUGGGAAAUGCUGAACUAUAGCAAUCACGAAGAAAAAGGACACACAGGAAUGCUCAGGAAGAUAGAAGGGACUUCUGGGGAGAAAUGGUAAAUUGAUCCCAGGAAUCUCUUUUUUCUCUCCCCUGCGCCAGUGAAGAAUAAAAAUGACCUAAACUCUCAAAGGCAGGAGAAGAUCAUAGUGGGCAAAGGAUUCCAGUAGAUUCCUGGGAAAUGAGAAGCCCAUGAAUGUGGCAAUGACUCAGGAAGGAGGAGGAAGCUAAAACUCAGAUUCCCGACAGGAGGGGCCUUGAAAGGAACCCAGGAAAUGCUGGUUGCGUGGACAAAUGAAUCAAUACAUCCCGUAAAUUUAUUAGACGAGUGGACCUUAGGAGAGAGAAACUCCCCCCCGCCAAAAAAAAAAACCCCACCAUCUGGGUCAGCUCUUCUUAAGCCUUUGUGUGCCCAAGAUGGGAAUUUGCAUUUUUGAAAACAAGUUCUCAAGAGGGGCCACACCUAGAUGCACAGCUGCCGACACCACACGUUCCUUCCUAUCCGUGAAGGGUUGGAGUGGCCCUUUCUACAGAAAAAGGAACUUGAUGAUGCUGGUAACAAACAACUUGUCAACAUGCAGAGGGUAGAACUGCUUCGAUACAGUGAGGCCCCGGCAGUGCCCCAAGUCCCCUCUCUCUUCCCCCAAACCCAUCCCCUAGGACUGGCUUUCAUAGGCAUUUAUUAGGCACUGACUCUGCACCAGGCAUUGUGCACAAAAGGUGCAAAAGGAGUUUCAGUCCUAAAAGCUUCUCCUGCACCUGCACAUCCUUUGGGCAAAGAUGUCACCGUGUCCCCAGUGAAUCAGGUGUGUGCGAAGUAAGCAGUGGUGACCAGGUGGAGGCUGCAAAGGCCUGAACCUGGGGAAACGGCUUUUGUUCAUUGGCAGCCAUUUCUCGCAGCCUAGAUGCUGAGAAACUUUGCUAUCUGAUUUGCUUUGGUGGCAAUGGACAGCCACUCGUGCCUGAAGGCUCCAAGCCUGUGGGUCACUUUGACACAGGGAAGCAGCCUUGGUGUCCAAAUCGGGUGAUAAGGCCUUUGAAAAUGACAUUCCACAGUUAUCUCAACUCGGCAGUUCCCAAGGAGACAGGACCCUGAGUCCAUUUCUUAGCAGUGCUGGUAAUCAGACAGGGAUGUUCCCAGUACAACCUAAAGAAAACAAGUUUCUGGGGGGACCUUUCCGAGGUCACAGAGGGUGCCGUCUGGAACGAUGGGCAACCUCUCUCCAUGGAACGAUUACGGCUUUUCUUUCCUAAUGACAUUGUUCCCAAUGACUCCCUCAGCUGCACUUCAUCCUUCCUCCCCGAGUAAUGAUGGCUGCUCUCCUGGUUUCUAAACUGCCUGCAGCAUGGCAGCCACCGAUGCAGAGCGGUUCUGUCUUCCCCAGUUCCUCUUAAAAAUCAUCCAACAUCAGCUCCAGCUCCCUCUUGAUAAGCUGCCCCCAGCUCCUGUGGAGUUCCAUCACCCGUGGCUUUAUAAACCUAAAUUUGUGGCUUUAUAAACCUAAAUUUGUUUGGUGGCAAGUGUGUCCCUGAUAGUCUUUAUCUGAUGGGCUUUGUCAAAGAGCAAGAUUUGACAAAAAUGAGAUUCUUUCCUUCCCCAGGAUGCGCUGGUAAAUGUUUUACAGAACCUUGGAAAGGAAAAGGAAAAAGAGCUGAUGUGCAGUGUUUGCCCAUUUGUGUGGAGUAAAUAUUCCACUUUGGUCAAUUUCAAGCAACUGCUAUGACUUCACUGCCCACAGAGUUGGGGAGAGAUGUACAUGAUCAGUUUUUUUUUUUUUUUGCGGGGGUCGGGGGCGACGUUCUGUUUCGGAGCUUCCAGCACAUCUCUGCCCCCUUCUCACCCAUCUUCCUGAAGCAACAUUUUUGUGCUCAUUGAAUUUUCCAGAAUUUGCUUCUGCAUGGGAAUAGCUUAUCAUCCCCCCUUUCAUUGUGUGAGGAAUCUGGCACCUGGCUUAUUUAUAAGCAAGUUCUGAGGCAAGUCGUGACUAUAAUAGAAACUCAUUGACAGAGAACUUGUAUAGGAAAGUGGGCAAAUUGCAAAGAACACUGGGUUUUAGAGACCAGUAAAUACACAUUCUUGUGUCACAGUCAGUUGCUUUGCUGAAGGUGGCUUCCUGACCCAGGCAGAGGGUAAAUGAUUUUGUCCUAGAGGAGAGAAACACCGCCUCUUACAGCAACAUCAGCUUAUCUUACUUUGGCCUGGGCUUAAUCUGCCAAAGCUACGUAAGACCUGCCUUUUUUUUUUUUUUUUUUUUUUUUAAAUCCUACAAAGAAAAUGAUCAUUGUGGAAUACCCACGAAGUAAUUAUAGAUAAUGGCCCACGAUCUGGCAGCUUACAAGUUCAGCCACUUGGCUGAGAAAUGAAUUCCCUAUCUGCCACUACAAGACCUCAUUAUGUGCUAUACUGGUGAAUUGAUAAUGAAAAGACUUAAAAAGUGUCUGAUAGCAAAAGAAGCUCCUUUUUUAGCCUGACUGGCCUUUAGAGCAGGGCUCUAGGGAACAGAUGACUGAACUCAAUGCAAAUUUCAAACUAGAUUACCAGUAGCUUCUUAUCAUUCUCUUGGAAUGCUGGGAACGUGGGAACUGUGAAUAGCCCACCACGAUGGAAAUACCGUGGUUAAAGGAAAAAAAAGAGAGCCUUUCAAUUUGACGAAGAGAAAGAAAAUGAUGUAGGGGAGGCUGAGAAGAUUGAUAUUAUUUUUCUAAGAAGGCAUAAGUCCCUUUGACAAGACUACAAAGAAACCAGAUCUCACUUUAAGUCAGUACUUGGCUCAACAGAUUCAUGAAGUAUCUUUGUUGUGCUGAGGAUGCCGAAAUGAAGCUCACUGUCUGCUACGGGGUGUCACCACUGCCACAGAAGCCUUAAAGUUCCCUGGACUCGGAGGAGGGGAGCAAUCUCCUGGGAAGUUGCUGGAAAGUUAGUACCAUGUACUGACCCUGUUCACUCCACUGAUGCAAAGGACCAUUUGCCUCGUCGGCACCCACGAGGGGAACUUUAAACUGUGUGCCUAUUGUGAUACCUGUGUUUCCCAAAGUCUCUGAACUGCAAGAUGCUUUUACUGAAAAUCAGAUGGUGACAUUCUGGAAGAGUCACUUCUUGCCUGCCCCUAUCCUACCGGGGGUGGGAAGUGGAGAAGCAGACAGAGAUGUGAACUGAGGUUGGGCACCUGCCAUCAGCCUCUACAUGGACUAAAUCAUGAGCUAUUGCAGCAGAGCUCAGGGUGGAGACCAGGGGUGAGGCACUCUGUGCUCUGGGAAAACUGGAAGAACAGGUCUUCAGAUAGAUAUUUUUAGGAGAAGAGUUGAUGAGCCCAAUUCUUGCAUCUCCUUACAUCUAGAAAAACACCCAAAUCCUUCAUGAUGACCCAUGGCUGAGACUAAUAGUAACUUUCAGGAGACCAGCAGCAAAUUUGGUAAAAUACAUUCCUGGCUGCAGGUACCUCCCCCUUCACCUUUAUCACUUAUAUCUGGAUAUUCUCCCUUUCCUCUUUGGGGUGGUAUUUCAGAGCUGUCUGAAAUACUGCCCCCUGGCUGUAGUCAAGUGGAUGAAACAAAAGAUGUCGCAGUCAUCUGUGAAGACAGUCACUCCCAAGGGUGGGCUGGUGAGCCCUGAAGGAACUUGGGAAAGGACUAAAGAAGACUGGCCCUCAGCUGAGGUGCAUAUCCAAGGAGUGAUUCCAGUAAGCCUAGACCUUAACAUCUUCCCAGGGAAACUGGUUUUCUGUAAAUCAGGUUUUCUAUAUAUCUUUUGUUCCUACUACCUUCUCUUCGUUGCAAAAACUCAUAUAUCCUAGUACCCCCCUCCACCUCCUUGGACAGUUUCUC